UGCAGAGGUCUCAAGCGUUGUUCGGAUUCAUUGGGCGUAAAGGGUGCGUAGGCGGCGCGGUAAGUCGGGUGUGAAAUUUCGGAGCUUAACUCCGAAACUGCAUUCGAUACUGCGGUGCUUGAGGACUGGAGAGGAGACUGGAAUUCAUGGUGUAGCAGUGAAAUGCGUAGAGAUCAUGAGGAAGACCAGUGGCGAAGGCGGGUCUCUGGACAGUUCCUGACACUGAGGCACGAAGGCCAGGGGAGCAAACGGG
rnacentral:rRNA from 1 species